CAACAUCCUUUGUGCAAUUAUUAAACCUCACUCAUAGCUGCAUCCAACAAACUCCUUUCAUUCACCCCUCUUAACAGAAUUGAAUUUACCCAGCAAGAUCCAUGCCUCGGGCCCUAUAACCACACCAAGCCUUCUCCAUUCACACCAGAGAGCAUUCGUAUCAAAGCCCUAUUAUGCCCAUACACAAUGGACACAUAAAAGGAACUAAGAAAAUGAGCAUAUUCUGUUUUACAUGGAAUCUGCUACUCACUAGAGACCAUCCAAGAGGCCUUGCAAGUAAGACUAUUCCAAGAAAAUAAAAUUAUAGCCACAAUCCCAUUGUUAACAUGAUGAAAGAAAUCCCAAUUAGCAGGCAAACAAUUCCGAACUGUAGAGCUUAAGUUUUGCUGCCUUACUUUGGUUUCAACGGGACAAACUCUUAAAAAUGGUCUUCCGAACCUCCAUCUAUUUGCAGGGAUCAUGAAGAACCUGACAUUCCAAGAGCCAAUCUUGAUCUUUUCUGUUUUGAAGUCCCCCAUCUUGCUUCCUUAGAGGAGGCCCAUCCCCUCCAACCGGCUCAGUGGCCUUUCCAUGACUCAAAUUUCCAACCGUGGAAGGAACCUCCAGCUAUGAUACCCACUUUAGGGACGGACCCAUAAGUUGAAACUGCAAGUGCUUGAUCAGAAAACUUCAUGUUCAUGUGGUCAAUCUCACCCCCACCCGUAUUCUCAGGAACCAAAACAAGGGAACUCCCAAACCCUCCCUAAUCCUACCUGGCCAUAAACAAGGGAGCUGCCCAUCCCUUUGUCCAAUCUGGGUCCCUGGAGCUCAGACCCAAUAACUCCCUAUUCAGUAUUCACAGCAGAUUCAAGAAGCUAGAAACUAUUACCAGAGAUGCAAAUUGGCCUGCUUCAUUAUGCCUCCCUUGUUGAAAGAUCUGAGGCCCAGAACUCAUAGCCCCACCUUGAUUUCCCAUCUCCAAAACCAAGGAGAAGCUAGUUCAUCCCGUUCGAUUUCCAGGGGAAGGGAACUAAAGGACCCGCCCCUGCUUCCACCAUUCUCACCCAAACAAGCUCAUUAUAAGAAGAAGAAUCAAGAAAAUCAACUAAUUUCCAGAGGUUGUCCCUAACCCUGCUUGAUGAAAUGGAGAAUUGAGGCCCAUCUUUGCAAGUACCCUUUAGGCAGCCCCCCCAACAUCAUCCUCUUGUGAAAGAUCUCUUCUUCUUAACUCCCCCGACCUAUUCCUUACCCACAGGGGUGACUGAACAGACUUUCUCUUCAUUCAAUCAAUGAGAUUCAUCGUGGUCCAAAAACAACUAUAUUAAGAACAUUUUACUGGCCUCCAGGGGUAGUGAAUCAUUACCCCUGGAAUUUUAUCUGAAUUUAUUCUAGCAAUUCUCUCUGCCCACAGAGAGUAAAAUGGCAGCUGCCAAAGAAAGAUGUGAGUAGAAUCCUAAAAGAUUGCCACGUGCCACGUUUUUAAUAGCCCAAUCAAUAAUAAGACCUAGUCCCAGCAGCUUACGGAUCCGAUUUUUUCCCCCCAGUACCACCUAUUCCUUUGUUUUUGUUUUCAGUUCUGUCAUCUUUCGAAUUUGUGCACAAUACUGAUACAGAUUCACCAGGAACAAUCAAAAGUACCCAAAUGAAAAAUUUAUCUUUUUUCACUGGCUCUCAAAAACAAUCAGCUAAUACAAAGAAACAUGCCGGUCGGAUUCAAAUCUCGUUUGACCCGCGUUAUUUGCCCAAAAAAAACCAAUUGAAACUAUAAAACACACAUAAGGAAAUAGUCCCCAAAUUAAUGGAAGGAAUAAAAGCAACACGUGAAUUAGAUACUAAAAUGAAUCCAAUACUCUCUCUAUCUCUCUCCUCCUCUAAAAUGAUGAGGCUAAAUAGAGCGUAGAUCGGAAGGAUGGGGGCUGUAGCGGUGAUGCAGCUUCCCCAACUCCAUUCUCUUACCAGGAAAGCCAUUGGCCAAGCCCCAGGUUAUGUGAACAUCCAAAUGACAAUGCAUUAGCCACACUCCUGUUUGUUAAAUUGCCAAACAAACAAAAGAUUAGAACAUUAAACAAAGAAGAGACGAGUGGAAUGUGUUAGAAAUGGUCGUAAAUUCUAUAUCCCCAAAUAACUUUCGUGUGGUUGCUAGAAAAGAUUUAAUUUUAAAAUUAUGGGGACAAAUCUCAUGCCACUAGGAAUUAUGUCCUCAGUGUUAUGAGUGAAAUCUCAAAGUACACAAAUUUUAAAAUAUGACCGUAAAUUCAUUAAAAUUGACCAACAGUUAGAUUCUAGAGAUAGAGACUCUUAUUUGUACCACUAUUGACCCUCUAUUUUGAAAUCGUUCAUAUUAAAAGCUUCACUGAGAAUAUUAUGUCGUAAAAAUUUAUUUCUAUUAAAUAUUAAUUAUCACGUGACCAAAUUAUAUUUGUAUUCACCAGACAAAAAUACCUGCAACUAUCAAUAUUUAAUCAAUAUGAUUUUUCACCUAUUUGACUUUCUUCUUAAACACAAAGCCAAACAAAUAAUA
rnacentral:lncRNA from 1 species